UACGUAGGUGGCAAGCGUUGUCCGGAAUUAUUGGGCGUAAAGCGCGCGCAGGCGGCCUGUUAAGUCUGAUGUGAAAGCCCCCGGCUCAACCGGGGAAGGUCAUUGGAAACUGAUAGGCUUGAGUACAGAAGAGGAAAGCGGAAUUCCACGUGUAGCGGUGAAAUGCGUAGAGAUGUGGAGGAACACCAGUGGCGAAGGCGGCUUUCUGGUCUGUAACUGACGCUGAGGCGCGAAAGCGUGGGGAGCAAACAGG
rnacentral:rRNA from 1 species